CGUGUCAGAAAGGGCAUUCUCGCUUAUCUGUAUAUGAGAAUUGGGUCACCGCGGCAGAGCUUCAAUCGAAAUAGUGAUUCUUUGGCCAGGUUUGCUUAUCCAACCCUCGAGUUUAAG
rnacentral:misc_RNA from 1 species